GAAAGUAAAAAAGGGCGCAUGGCGGAUGCCUUGGCUCUCGGAGGCGAUGAAGGACGUGAUAAGCUGCGAUAAGCUUUGGGGAGGUGCAAAUGACCUUUGAUCCAGAGAUUUCCGAAUGGGACAACCCAAUAUCUUGAAGAGGUAUUAUCCAACGUUGUUGGAGGCUAACGCAGGGAACUGAAACAUCUUAGUACCUGCAGGAAAAGAAAAUAAACAAUGAUUCCCCCAGUAGUGGCGAGCGAACGGGGAAUAGCCCAAACCAUCCAUGUUACGGCAUGGGUGGGGUUGUAGGACUACGCCGUUGCAUGAAGACAUCAGAGAAGAACUUUCUGGAAAGAAAGACCAUAGAGCAUGACAGUUGCGUAUUCGAAUGUUGUCGAAGCAUAGUAGUAUCCUGAGUAGCGCGGAGCACGAGGAAUUCUGCGUGAAUCUGCCGGGACCAUCCGGUAAGGCUAAAUACUCCCGAGAGACCGAUAGCGAACCAGUACCGUGAGGGAAAGGUGAAAAGCACUUCGAACAGAAGAGUGAAAUAGUUCCUGAAACCGUGCGCCUACAAGCGGUCGGAGCUCGUUGAUGAGUGACGGCGUGCCUUUUGCAUAAUGAACCUACGAGUUGCCUUUGCCGGCAAGGUUAAGUGUGACGACACACGUAUCCGAAGCGAAAGCGAGUCUGAAGAGGGCGUAUAGUCGGCAGUGGCAGACGCGAAACCAAGUGAUCUACCCUUGGCCAGGUUGAAGGCUGGGUAACACCAGCUGGAGGACCGCACCAAUAAGCGUUGAAAAGCUUCUGGAUGAGCUGAGGGUAGGGGUGAAAGGCUAAUCAAACUUGGAGAUAGCUCGUACUCCCCGAAAUGCAUUUAGGUGCAGCCUUGCGGGUUACUGAUGUGAGGUAGAGCGACUGAUAAGAUGCGAGGGCUUCACCGCCUAUCAAGUCUUGACAAACUCCGAAUGCGCAUCAGUUCUACCGCAGGAGUGAGGGCAUGGGUGCUAAGGUCCGUGCCCGAGAGGAGAAGAAUCCGGACCACCUGCUAAGGUCCCGAAAUGACAGCUAAGUUAAACUAACGAAGUCUGACUGCUAAGACAGCUAGGAUGUUGGCUUGGAAGCAGCCAUUCAUUUAAAGAGUGCGUAACAGCUCACUAGUCGAGGAGUUUGGCGUGGAUAAUAAUCGGGCAUCAAGUAUUCUACCGAAGCUUUGGGAUGUUUAAACAUCGGUAGGGGAGCAUUCCACUCGGCGUUGAAGGUGAGGCGUGAGCCUUGCUGGAGCGUGUGGAAAAGCAAAUGUAGGUAUAAGUAACGAUAAAGGGGGUGAGAAACCCCCUCGCCGAAAGACUAAGGUUUCCUGAUCAACGCUAAUCGGAUCAGGGUCAGUCGGGUCCUAAGGCUCAGCCGAACGGCGAUGCCGAUGGCAGAAACGGUUAAUAUUCCGUUACUACCUUCAGGAGUGACGUGGAGACGCAGUAGUGACAGUGCCGCCAUCUGACGGAAUAGAUGGUUGAAGGGUGUAGGAGUCGAUCAUGGCAGGCAAAUCCACCAUGAGAUCCGAACCUGAUAGUAUGCCGCGUCCUUCGGGACAAGGCAAUAGUGCGCGUAAGCAUGCUGCCGAGAAAAUCCGCUAAACUUAAUCCUGCAGGUACCCGUACCGCAAACGGACACACGUAGUCGGGUUGAAUAUACUAAGGCGCUUGAGUGAUUCACGGUUAAGGAACUAGGCAAACUGACCCUGUAACUUCGGGAUAAAGGGUCCCUACCCUUUUAUGGGAGGGCGCAGAGAAUCGGUCCAGGCAACUGUUUAACAAAAACACAGGGCUGUGCCAAAUCGAAAGAUCCAGUAUACAGCCUGACACCUGCCCGGUGCUGGAAGGUUAAGAGGAGAUGUCAUCGCAAGAGAAGCAUUGAAUUGAAGCCCCAGUAAACGGCGGCCGUAACUAUAACGGUCCUAAGGUAGCGAAAUUCCUUGUCGGGUAAG
rnacentral:rRNA from 1 species